rnacentral:misc_RNA from 1 species
AUGAGAGUUUGUAACACCCAAAGUCGGUGGGGUAACCUUUUAGGAACCAGCCGCCUAAGGUGGGACAGAUGAUUAGGGUGAAGUCGUAACAAGGUAGCCGUAGGAGAACCUGCGGCUGGAUCACCUCCUUUCUAAGGAAUAUUACGGAAACCUACACACGCGUCGAAACUUUGUUUAGUUUUGAGAGAUUUAACUCUCAAAACUUGUUCUUUGAAAACUAGAUAAUAUCAAAUAUAUUUUUUCAUAAUGAAACCGAGAACACCGCGUUUUUUGAGUUUUUUAUUGAAGUUUAAUUAUCGCUAAACUCAUUAAUCGCAUUUACCGUUAGGUAAAUGAGGUUAAGUUAACAAGGGCGCAUGGUGAAUGCCUUGGCACUAGGAGCCGAUGAAGGACGGGACUAACACCGAUAUGCUUCGGGGAGCUGUACGUAAGCUAUGAUCCGGAAAUUUCCGAAUGGGGCAACCCAGCAGUUUUAAUCAACUGUUACCACUAGAUGAAUUCAUAGUCUAGUUGGAGGUAAACGCUGUGAACUGAAACAUCUCAUUAGCAGCAGGAAUAUAAAGAAAUUUCGAUUCCCUAAGUAGCGGCGAGCGAACGGGGAACAGCCCAAACCAAAGUGCUUGCACUUUGGGGUUGUAGGACUGAACAUUUGAGUUACCAAAGAACUUGAUAGUCGAAGGAUUUGGGAAAAUCCGCCAUAGAUGGUGAUAGCCCAGUAGAUUAAAUCAAAUUCUCUCAGUUCAGGAUCCUGAGUACGGCGGAACACGUGAAAUUCCGUCGGAAUCCGGGAGGACCAUCUCCCAAGGCUAAAUACUACCUAGUGACCGAUAGUGAACCAGUACCGGAAGGAAAAGGGCAAAA